GGUGGAGUGAUUUGUCUGGUUAAUUCCGGUAACGAACGAGACUCUGGCCUACUAAAUAGUCGACGUGGGUUUUGGUGCAUGGGCCCCGUUCGACAAUGUCUUCUUAGAGGGAUGAGCAGCGAGUAUAGCUGCAGGAGAUUGAGCAAUAACAGGUCUGUGAUGCCCUUAGAUGUCCUGGGCCGCACGCGCGCUACACUGAAUGGGUUAGCGGGUUCUCCUUCUCCGAGAGGAGAGGGAAAUCGCGUGAAAACCAUUCGUGAUAGGGAUUGGGGCUUGCAAUUGUUUCCCAUGAACGAGGAAUUCCCAGUAAGCGCAAGUCAUCAGCUUGCGUUGAUUAA
rnacentral:rRNA from 1 species